UACAGAGGCCCCAAGCGUUACUGAGAAUCACUGGGUUUAAAGGGUGCGUAGGUGGCGCGUUAAGUCCGUUGUGAAAUCCCUUGGCUCAACCAAGGAAUGGCUUCGGAUACUGGCGUGCUUGAGGCUAGUAUGGGUCACUGGAACUGACGGUGGAGCGGUGAAAUGCGUAGAUAUCGUCAGGAACGCCAAUGGUGAAGACAGGUGACUGGGCUAGUUCUGACACUGAGGCACGAAAGCGUGGGGAGCGAACGGG
rnacentral:rRNA from 1 species